rnacentral:rRNA from 1 species
GGCUUAGAGUUUGAUCAUGGCUCAGGAUGAACGCUGGCGGCGUGCCUAACACAUGCAAGUCGAGCGAGGCACUUUGCUUUGAAUCUUUCGGGAGGACGAGUGAUUUGACUGAGCGGCGGACGGGUGAGUAACGCGUGGGCAACCCGCCUCACACAGGGGGAUAACAGUUAGAAAUGACUGCUAAUACCGCAUAAGGCCACAGCACCGCAUGGUGCAGGGGUAAAAACUCCGGUGGUGUGAGAUGGGCCCGCGUCUGAUUAGGUAGUUGGUGAGGUAACGGCUCACCAAGCCGACGAUCAGUAGCCGACCUGAGAGGGUGACCGGCCACAUUGGGACUGAGACACGGCCCAAACUCCUACGGGAGGCAGCAGUGGGGAAUAUUGCACAAUGGGGGAAACCCUGAUGCAGCGACGCCGCGUGAGCGAUGAAGUAUUUCGGUAUGUAAAGCUCUAUCAGCAGGGAAGAAACUGACGGUACCUGACUAAGAAGCACCGGCUAAAUACGUGCCAGCAGCCGCGGUAAUACGUAUGGUGCAGGCGUUAUCCGGAUUUACUGGGUGUAAAGGGAGUGUAGACGGCGAUGCAAGUCUGGAGUGAAAGCCCGGAGCUCAACACCGGGACUGCUUUGGAAACUGUAAAGCUGGAGUGCCGGAGAGGUAAGCG